rnacentral:pre_miRNA from 1 species
UCUUCAUUUCACACACUCUCUCGCCUCUCUGACCGGGGAGAGAGUGUGGAAAAUGAAGAGA